rnacentral:misc_RNA from 1 species
CCUGCACCUACAUAUCAGCAGAUGAAUGCUGUCAAGCUUCCUGAGGAGUGGGAGACGCUGUGCAGCACCAGCGACGCAGAAGUUAUCCAUGAGUGUAUCAACGGUGUUUUUAGGCGACUUCUGGCCAACUUGCUCUUGGACUUUAAUAAUCCCAAGUUCCGCCAAGUAAAAAAGGACAACAAGGCCCUUCGCCGCCUCACAGAGUCACUACCAGCAGGCUUCAUCGAAUUUCUUUUCUCAAGCAUUGGUUUUGCCAAGCAUGAAGAUGCCUUUAUCUUUGAGGGGUCGCUGGAGUCGCUCAAGCACGGCGAUACCGUUUUAUCGUGCAUCGAGGACAUCUUUGGCAAGGAGAGGCUACAAGCUGCCCAAUGUGGACUCUACCGCCUCAGGAACUUGGCAAUCAAAAAAGCCGAAAAUGGCCUCACGCAAAGGGAAAUGGCGACUGCUACUGCACGGCUGCAGAGAGCUCGACCUCUCUCACAGGAAGAAGACGCAAAGCGCCAAGCUCAGCAGAGCGGAACUGAGAAAGAUGUGGCGGAAGAACACGCAGUAAAGGAAGCUGUGCGUAAGACGCUCCUCAACACCGGACGUGUGCGAAACGGAUUUUUCGAGGCACGUGACUUUAGUGUCCGCACCAUGCAGCACGGUCGGGUCUACGCCUGCACAAAAAAGUGUCCUGAUCACUGCGUUGAGGCGCAUUGGCAUCUUUUCACUGGGAGAAACAUUCUGUAUUCCCACCUCGCGCACCUUUCUGCUGAUGGGACGCGGCUCCUGCACCUAGGCCCUGAGCACGGAUAUCAAUAUAACAGCCUCCCUGGGUCGGCGAACUUCGGCAAAAUGAUCCACUUUAGCGAGAAGCUGAUGGAUGAAAAUGGAAGGCUGGUGCACAUCAAAAAUGACGACAAACCCGUUACCGCGUGCAUUUACUGUGGCCGCGCGUUCGCCGAAUUGUUACUGUAGACUACAACUGCAUAUAUACGAAAGCAGGGCAAAAAAGUCUUUAGCAAAAAAAAAAAGCGAAAGCACCUCUGCUUGCUUCAAGCAGCAAAUUACUUGAAAUCUGUGAAAGAAUACUACAGAUUCGAGCGAUUCUCAAAGUUCCUCGAAAAUGGAGAGGAGCAUUAUGUUCCCUUCCGUUUUUUGAGCAACCGCCCUGUGUGCAACAAGCGCGCACAGGCGUGUGACUUUUUACGACGCAAAAAAAAAAUGACUAAUUGUUUGCUGAACUCAACUCUUUUUUCUUGGCUGCACCAACUCCAAUUUGCUUACUUCAAAUAUUGGUCUUUUUUUUUUUGAGGGCUGGUCGGCUCUGUAG